rnacentral:rRNA from 1 species
CCUACGGGAGGCAGCAGUGAGGAAUAUUGGACAAUGGGCGCAAGCCUGAUCCAGCCAUGCCGCGUGCAGGAUGACGGUCCUAUGGAUUGUAAACUGCUUUUGCACAGGAAGAAACAACGCUACGUGUAGCGUCUUGACGGUACUGUGAGAAUAAGGAUCGGCUAACUCCGUGCCAGCAGCCGCGGUAAUACGGAGGAUCCAAGCGUUAUCCGGAAUCAUUGGGUUUAAAGGGUCCGUAGGCGGUUUAGUAAGUCAGUGGUGAAAGCCCAUCGCUCAACGGUGGAACGGCCAUUGAUACUGCUAGACUUGAAUUAUUAGGAAGUAACUAGAAUAUGUAGUGUAGCGGUGAAAUGUUUAGAGAUUACAUGGAAUACCAAUUGCGAAGGCAGGUUACUACUAAUUGAUUGACGCUGAUGGACGAAAGCGUGGGUAGCGAACAGGAUUAGAUACCCUGGUAGUCCACGCCGUAAACGAUGGAUACUAGCUGUUGGGAGCAAUUUCAGUGGCUAAGCGAAAGUGAUAAGUAUCCCACCUGGGGAGUACGUUCGCAAGAAUGAAACUCAAAUGAAAUUGACGG